rnacentral:rRNA from 1 species
AUUGAACGCUGGCGGCAGGCCUAACACAUGCAAGUCGAACGAGUGGCGGACGGGUGAGUAAUGUCUGGGAAACUGCCUGAUGGCGGGGGAUAACUACUGGAAACGGUAGCUAAUACCGCAUACCAUCGGAUGUGCCCAGAUGGGAUUGGCUAUUAGGUGGGGUAAGGGCUCACCUGGGCGACGAUCCCUAGCUGGUCUGAGAGGAUGAUGGGACAGACGGGGACUGGGAGACGGCCCAGACGCCUGCGGGAGGCAGCAGUGGGGAAUAUUGCACAAUGGGCGCAAGCCUGAUGCAGGCAUGCCGCGUGUAUGAAGAAGGCCCUAGGGUUGUAAAGGACUUUCAGUCGGGAGGCGUUACCGACAGAAGAAGCACCGGCUAACUCCGUGUCAGCCGCCGCGGUAAUUC